UGACUACAUCACCCACCAAACUGAAGCAAGCAGCUAUCAUUCAGAAGAUUUGUAUGUCUAAAAUAUCCCUUCCUCCUUCUGGCCCAAUGUCUGUAUCGACAAAAGCUCAUCCACAGAUUUCUGAAGUUCAUACACGAAAACCUCUGAUGCCCGUCAAUUGUAAUUCUCUAAAUAAACCAGAACACUCAGUAAACUGGAAACAAAUCUCUACCAUCCAGCAAAUCUGGGAUGCUUCCUUCCUUCCAGUCUGCAAAUUAGAUCUCUUCCUUUCAAUCAGUAAUACGAUAAAUCUCUAUUUUUGUAAUUAAUAAGUAGUUGAUGUGAUCAUUAAUUGUUACCUGGAAGUCAUUAUUAAUUUUUAUCAUUUAAUUGUUAGCAUUAUUGUUUCCUAAUUGCAAAUAAUCAUUUGUCGAGUCUUAUGUCAUCAGGUACCAAAUUUUAAGACUGAAAGCAAUACAUAAUACAAUUAAGAUUACCAUGGUUGCUGUAAGAAUAUAUUUUCAAAAUAAAAUUAUUAAGAAAUGUAAAAAAUGACUGGGAUGCUUCCUGCUUUCCUGUCUGCAAAUUAGAUCUCCUCCUUUCAAUCAGAAAUACGAUACAUUUCUAUUUUUGUAAAUAAUAAGUAGUUGAUGUGAUCAUUAAUUGUUACCUGGAAGUCAUUAUUAUUUUUAUCAUUUAAUUGUUAGCAUUAUUGUUUCCUAAUUGCAAAUAAUCAUUUGUAGAGUCUUAUGUCAUCAGGUACCAAAUUUUAAGACUGAAAGCAAUACAUAAUACAAUUAAGAUUACCAUGGUUGCUGUAAGAAUAUAUUUUCAUAAUAAAAAUAAAAUGGUUAAAGAAACUCUCCACUAUUUCUCAUUUCUUUGCCUUUAUUCUUUUGAUGAGUUUUCUUCUUCGGUGGGAAAAAAAAUUUAAUUUCUCUUUUUCAGGAUUAUAGAUUUUUCCUUUUCAUUUCCUUUCAAAGAAUUAUACCACCUCAUAACUAGGUACUCACAAAGGUUUCCUUUUAUUAAUUUGCAUACAAUCCUCUAAAGAAACCAUAUUAUGCUGCACAAUCAGAUUUGGAUGUAUUUAUGUUAAAAGGAACUAUGUGCACAGGGUUUGCGUGUAACAUAGUUCCUUUUAGCUUAAAUACGUCCAUUUGUAUCUUGAAGGCCAGGUUUUAAGAGCUUUGAUGCGCUGCAACAGACUACAAAGCGAAAUUGGUCAAAGAGUGCUAGUAGCUGGAAACGUCUUCUCACCUUGAAAAUCCUAUUAUUAAUAUUAUUAUCAUUUUUUUUUAAAUGUCCAUGUAAUCAGGAUUAUACUUUCCUCUUUCUUUCAAAAUUGAAUGUUUAUUUCAUAAUGCUGCUCCUAAGUGUAAAUACCUGAUCAUUCUUUCACGCAUGACUUCUUAUGGACAGCGAGCAACAUUAUUUUUAAUACUAACAGGAACAUCCCAAUCUCAGGGAAAAGUUGAAAAAUCUUCCAUUUACAGAGAGCACAAGUUCAUGUGAAAAGUAGUCUCACUUUCCUCUCUUGUUCUUUUUUAAAAUUAAAAACAGCUUUUCUCAUUAGGUACUGGUAGAAUCAAUUUAAUAAUGUGAACUUAAAUUACACAUUGUGUCACCCCAAAUGUUUCAUUUUUCACAUUUUCCGAUGAAAUAGUUCUUUCCUUCUUCAUCAAAUGGUCAAUCAAGAUCACAGUUAAAAUAUUUGCUAAAAUUAAUUUACUUCUUCCUGACAUAAUAAUCUUUCACUUCUUAAGAAUAGCAAAUUCGAAGCAAUGAAACCCUCAUUACUACGAGAGAACAACUGCGACACUAAAUUGACAGUGACACACGAGUACGAGGCUUAUUCAUACGUGAUUAUUGUUAUCACGGUCUCGGUACACUUAGCUCGUAUAUCCGGCGGUAUCAACUGGGCUGAAGGCGCGUCUUUACCCCCCUAGCUGUCUUACCUUCCCCGCCUAAAGUCGGGCCCAAUGCGCGGUCUAGAUUGUAUUAUACGUCAAUGGGUUCGCCUCGCCGCUCGGGCCGCAGCAAGCGAGCCUCUAGGAUUGGAAUCGGCCAAUACCAUCUAACCAUACCUGGUCAUGGGUUUGAGGUUAAAUGUUCGUAACUGCGGAGAACACACGGGAUCGUAUAGGGAGGACUUGAAAAUAGUUGAUUUUUUUACUUGAGAAAGUGAUUUAUUCCGGGCGUGGAAUUUUCAGUUGAAUAUUUAUGGCAAGUUUUAUCGAAAGAAACAAAUUUUUCCGGCAGAACCACAUUUUAAAUGAAGGAAAAAAUUAUUAAACGUAUAUCACUGUGGAAUAAGGGCAGGCAAGGGGUGAAAAAGAUGCAACCCGCCAAACGUAGCCCGGCGGCUUCCCUUUGUUCUCCGCAGAUAUUACUCACACACUCUCACACGUAUUCUCCAAUGGCCAGGAAUGCUAAGUAGGAAUUGAAUCGGCCCGUCUCUGGGCCGUGCAGCGCGCUUCGUCAACUCCAUCCGAUCGGUUACCCUACCUCUCCUGUAAUCCCACGAGUAUUCCCGUUUCUUCGCUACUGUUUCUACCUCGAUUUACUUACAUUAUACAUUUUGCU
rnacentral:lncRNA from 1 species